rnacentral:rRNA from 1 species
AUUGAACGCUGGCGGCAUGCCUUACACAUGCAAGUCGAACGGCAGCACGGGGCAACCUGGUGGCGAGUGGCGAACGGGUGAGUAAUGCAUCGGAACGUACCUUUCAGUGGGGGAUAACGUAGCGAAAGUUACGCUAAUACCGCAUAUUCUGUGAGCAGGAAAGCAGGGGAUCGCAAGACCUUGCGCUGAUUGAGCGGCCGAUGUCAGAUUAGCUAGUUGGUAAGGUAAAGGCUCACCAAGGCGACGAUCUGUAGCGGGUCUGAGAGGAUGAUGCGCCACACUGGAACUGAGACACGGUCCAGACUCCUACGGGAGGCAGCAGUGGGGAAUUUUGGACAAUGGGGGCAACCCUGAUCCAGCCAUGCCGCGUGAGUGAAGAAGGCCUUCGGGUUGUAAAGCUCUUUCGGCCGGGAAGAAAUCGCACGGGCUAAUACCCUGUGUGGAUGACGGUACCGGAAUAAGAAGCACCGGCUAACUACGUGCCAGCCGCCGCGGUAAAAC